UACGAAGGGGGCUAGCGUUGCUCGGAAUCACUGGGCGUAAAGGGUGCGUAGGCGGGUCUUUAAGUCAGGGGUGAAAUCCUGGAGCUCAACUCCAGAACUGCCUUUGAUACAGCACAUCUGGAGUCCGGAAGAGGUGGGUGGAAUUCCUAGUGUAGAGGUGAAAUUCGUAGAUAUUAGGAAGAACACCGGUGGCGAAGGCGGCCCACUGGUCCGGUACUGACGCUGAGGUGCGAAAGCGUGGGGAGCAAACAGG
rnacentral:rRNA from 1 species